GGCAACUUGGCCGAGCGGUCUAAGGCGCCACGUUAAGGAGAUAUCCUUAAUCACCCUCUUGAUCAUCUUCUUGAUGAUCUUGAAAAGUUCCGUGGUCCGAAAGGGCGUGAGUUCGAAUCUCACAGUUGUCA